rnacentral:lncRNA from 1 species
UCAUUUUUCUAAGGCACUUAAGGGUCAUUAGCCUAGCACUGCAGCAAAUGUAUUAUUCAUUUUGCCAUAGCCCAAUUUCUCUGCUAAGACUUUUGCAGCAAAAUGCUACACAGCUCAGCAGAGAGGUGAUUGAUUAAGCAAGAAGGAGCAGAAUUUGGGCAUCCUGAUAAAAUUUUCUCAUAGUCUGCUCUGUUAACAUCCAUCAGUUUUAUUUAGGUAGGAUCGCUUGAAUACUAACUAGCCAAUGCCAUCCAUUGGAGAAAAAUGUGUCAUGAUACCUUUAGGUUAAUGUUACUUGAACACUUUGUUCUUGAAUGAUUUAUACCUGCUGGUGAGUGUCUGUCUCUUCACAAUUUGGGUUUUUUUUUUCGGUUUCACUAGGAUUAUGUUAAUGCUGGCAAUGUCUGUAUAGCGCAGGGAUGACAUGAUCCUCCAUGAGUGAACACAACCGGUAGCAAAGAUGCGUUCUUGGCAGCCUGGCUGAAGAUAUUGCUGCACAUCUUUCAGAAAAGCAAUCACAUUCCCUCAGUCCAGACUGGUUUAGCUGCCUCACUGAAAAACUGUUCCUCUCCGUGGAAGGAGUUUCAGCUGAGUGUGACACCUCAAUUUCUCCCAUUUUCUCUGCUUUGGACUGACGUGCUUUGCUUUAAUUGUAGUCAUUGCUCAUUGAAAGUUAGCUCCCAUGGCAGAUGAGGGCUGAAGAGGUGAUUCAACAGCCCUCUGGCUGUAGAUGCUGGGAAACUAAGAUUCACCCGUGUUUAUGCACCACAACAUGAAGUUCACUAUGAACUUUUCAACUAAUCAAUCAACAUGAAAAGCCAUCACUUUCAUGUCUUCUGUCGUACCAAUGCACAUUAACAGAUUUCAAGGAGGAGCAACAUCAAGACGGAAUGAUAACUACUGCAUGUCACCUGGAAAAACACAUUUUUCACAUUUUUAGCUGAUGGUGGGUAUCAUGAUGAUGCGUGUUAAUUGAUUUAUAAUAGAAAUAGAACUAUGUAAUCUCUAGUAACAUACUAAGUAGUAUGG